rnacentral:rRNA from 1 species
UGCAGUCGAGCGAGCCUUCGGGCUAGCGGCGGACGGCUGAGUAACACGUUGGCUACCUACCCUAAACUCGGGAAUAAGCACUGGAAACGGUGUCUAAUGCCCGAUAGUCUCUUCGGAGUAAAGCUUUUGCGGUUUAGGAAGGGCCUGCGCGAGAUUAGCUAGUUGGUGAGGUAACGGCUCACCAAGGCUUCGAUCUCUAGGUGGUCUGAGAGGAUGAUCAUCCAGACUGGGACUGAGACACGGCCCAGACUCCUACGGGAGGCAGCAGUAAGGAAUCUUGCACAAUGGGGGAAACCCUGAUGCAGCAACGCCGCGUGGAGGAAGACGGCCUUCGGGUUGUAAACUCCUUUUAUCAAGGACGAACAUUGACGGUACUUGAUGAAUAAGAGGUGGCUAACUAUGUGCCAGCAGCCGCGGUAAUACAUAGACCUCAAGCGUUAUCCGGAUUUACUGGGCGUAAAGCGUGCGUAGGUGUCUUUGUAAGUCUCUAGUGAAAUCUCCGGGCCCAACUCGGAAACGGUUAGAGAAACUGCAAGGAUCGAGUAUCGCAGAGGCAGACGGAAUUCUAGGUGUAGCGGUAAAAUGCGUAGAUAUCUAGAAGAACACCGAUGGCGAAGGCAGUCUGCUGGGCGAUUACUGACACUGAGGCACGAAAGCGUGGGGAGCGAACGGGAUUAGAUACCCCGGUAGUCCACGCCGUAAACGAUGGGUACUAGGUAUCUGGGGCAUAGACCCCCUGGGUAUCGAAGCUAACGCGUUAAGUACCCCGCCUGGGGAGUACGGCCGCAAGGCUAAAACUCAAAGGAAUUGACGGGG